rnacentral:tRNA from 1 species
CGCCGCCCUGUCACGGCGGAGGUCGCGGGUUCGAGUCCCGUCGGGGUCGCCA